rnacentral:rRNA from 1 species
CCUACGGGAGGCUGCAGUGAGGAAUAUUGGUCAAUGGGCGCGAGCCUGAACCAGCCAAGUAGCGUGAAGGAUGACUGCCCUACGGGUUGUAAACUUCUUUUAUAAAGGAAUAAAGUGAGGCACGUGUGCCUUUUUGUAUGUACUUUAUGAAUAAGGAUCGGCUAACUCCGUGCCAGCAGCCGCGGUAAUACGGAGGAUCCGAGCGUUAUCCGGAUUUAUUGGGUUUAAAGGGAGCGUAGAUGGGUUGGUAAGUUAGUUGUGAAAGUUUGCGGCUCAACCGUAAAAUUGCAAUUGAUACUGGCAGGCUUGAGUACAGUUGAGGUAGGCGGAAUUCGUAGGGUAGCAGGGAAAUGCUGAGAUAUCACGAAGAACACCGAUGGCGAAGGCAGCUUACUAAGAUGCCACUGACAUUGAUGCUCGAAAGUGUGGGGAUCAAACAGGAUUAGAUACCCGUGUAGUC